rnacentral:lncRNA from 1 species
AUGGUUACCAAGGGCCACAGAAGACAUCACAUUUGCAACUACAACCAAUGUACAUGUCAAAGUAAAAGAAUAACUGCCUUAUCAACCAAUCAAAACGAUGAACUGAUGUUUGAACUUGUCUUUCUACAUAAAUGUCUUAACAUGAUAGUGUCUUACGGAUUGUCGCAGGAACACAGAACCGACACUUUAACCUCAAAGAGUCCAAGUGGAUUUUCUUUGUCUACGCCCAACCCUUCCUCCUCCAAAGCGCUGCCAUCAGGCACAAGAGAGCCCUCAUGUGGCCAGCCCCCCUCAGCAGACUCUCAUCAUUGCGGCCAUUAGCAGUGCAAAACGGAGGAGCAGAUUGAGUCAAUGUCUGCGGACAGAUCUGCAAUAAGAAAGACUUGGAAUCGUGCAAUGGACCGAGUGGAUAUAGUGUCAGUGUCUCCAACUGACUUUCACGGAAACCAUCCAUACUUAAAGAAUGUUCAUUAAAUAGUCAGUAUGAUAUUAGUUAUCUAGUCCUACAAUCUUUCAAAUGGUGACUUGAGUGGAGAGUCAUUAUUCCAGUUGUGUUUACAAAGAGUUAUUCCAAGCAUCGGAAUUACCGUCUGUGUUUAAUUGCAACCCAAGUAGUUUUUCUUCUUUCUCCUGGAUGUACUUGUCUUGAAAGUGCCAAGAACAGUUAAGAAAAAAAAACAAAUAAAGAAAUCAGUAGCUGCUAAGAGAUUCAUAUUUUUUGGAGUUAAAUGAAACUAUGAUUUUAUCCGUUUGACGUCACCAUGGGAUCAACCGUAUUUGUUUGCAUGAGGUGUCAAAAUCUGUUGCGUACAGUAUUUAAUAUCUUUCAGCUAGACAUAGACUGACCUUGGAACGGGUAAUAGUCGCUCCAAAAGGUUACUUGUGAAUAUUGUUGUUUUUUAAGACAGUGUUGAGUCUUGUUAACAAGAUACCGGAUAGAAAACCAAUUGUAACUUCUUUCUAUUUUGAGCCUUUUUUAACGUGUGCCGGUGUUCACUCUUUUCUAGUAGACUAAUAAUUUAUUAUGGUGUGUAAGUUGGCCUUUCUUUUCGAUAUUCCUGUAGAUACUGAGGGGGGUAGGGAUAGAGAUGCAGUGUUUCUAGUGAUGUGAUGUGCGAGGAUGUGUGAGGAAGAGUCUAAUCGGAUUAAAACGCUUUGUUUUGUGUCAUAACAGGACCCCAAGAAUAACAAGUUUUCGUUCCCCAACAUUUAAGCGAGAGGAUAGAAUUGUGCAAAAUGCUGAAGCUAUUCAGGUGUUUUCCCUUGAUUUAGCUGUGCUUGAUGGCUUCUUUUGUAACUUGCCUCAUGAAUGAAUAUCAACAAAGAGUUUCUUUUAAUGCUGCUCUUUCAAUUGCCUAAAAUAUUGUGCAUAUUGUAGCCCUUGGAUGAUGCGUGAAAGUGAGAAAUGUCUUCAUUUUGGUCAAACUACCAUGCCAAAGCGCAGCUGAGUAACAUAUAUCCCCCUCCUCAACAGAUACUGGAUGAUGAAAUAUGUAUUUCUCCACUGUAUAUUAUCUUUUCCCUUAAACUGAUUCUAGUAACUGUGUGGAGUUGACAUAUAUAUGCGGUUUGGUGUCGAAUAUUCUGAGAGAAAGUGCCUAAAAUGACAUCCUGUUAACAUUCCAAUAAAAUGGCAAUCUGCUCUCACCCAGAACGGCUGUACAUAAACAGAGGGUCUGACUGAACUGUGUUUCAUCAAACCCCUUGUGAACUGCACUGGCAAAGCUAAGUGGCUUUGAUAAUUAAUAAAGAUAUUUUAGCCGCACCACUCUCCAGACCUCACUGGCAAAUAAUUCCCUGCAGUCUCUUGCUGCAAUCGUUCUGUAUCCGACGCAGUAUGGAGUGAUAGAUGUUUGUAUGGGUACUGCAAUUAAUGAGAAUGAUGACACUAGGAAAGGAAAGCUGUAUGGGCUUGACUCUCAGAACCUUCUUUUAAAUUAUUAUAUAAUUUAUCUUAAAUCAUAUUAUUUAUUAGAAUACUGUAAUGCACAAAAAUUGCAAUCUCAUUACUGUAAUGCAAAAAUAAUAUAAAAAAUAGAAUAUUACAGUAAUGAGAGUCUAAUGAGAAUUACAAUCAAGAAUAUUGGGAACAUAAAAAACAAAACAAAAUUGGUAACAAGAAAGAAGCAGCAGGAAAUGUUAUAACAGUAAUGUUACAAAAUAUCUUAAAUGUCUUAUAUAAUUAAUCAUAAAAUAAGGGGCCUUAAUAAUUAAAAAAAGGAUUAGUAUUUUAUUUGUACUAAAUUACUUAAAUGACCUUAGAAAUUUCAAUGGUUACUAAAAAUAGGGGUAACAAGAAAGAAGCAGCAGGAAAUGUUAUAACAGUAAUGUUAACAAAAUAUCUUAAAUGUCUUAUAUAAUUAAUCAUAAAAUAAGGGACCUUAAUAAUUAAAAAAAGGAUUGAUUUUAUUUGCAAAUUACUUAAAUGCCUUGAAAAUUUCAAUGGUUCUAAAAAAUAGGCCUUAUUAUAUACAUUAUAUUAUAUACUUAUUAUAUACAGGUGCGUCUCAAUAAAUUAGAAUGUCUUGUUUUGUUAAAUGUGAGCCAAAAUCAUCACAAUUAAAAGAACCAAAGACUUAAACUACUUCAGUCUGUGUGCAUCGAAUUUAUUUAAUACACGAGUUUCACAAUUUGAGUUGAAUUACUGAAAUAAAUGAACUUUUUCAUGACAUUCUAAUUUAUUGAGAUGCACCUGUAUAUAUACACCGAUCAAGCAUAACAUUAUGACCACUGACAGGUGAAGUGAAUAACACUGAUUAUCUCUUCAUCACAGCACCUGUCAGUGGGUGGGAUAUAUUAGGCAGCCUAAUCCUCAAAGUUGAUGUGUUAGAAGCAGGAAAAAUGGGCAAGCGUAAAGGUUUGAGCGAGUUUGACAAG